rnacentral:rRNA from 1 species
UACGUAGGGUGCAAGCGUUGUCCGGAAUUAUUGGGCGUAAAGAGCUCGUAGGCGGUCUGUCGCGUCGGCUGUGAAAACCCGGAGCUCAACUCCGGGCCUGCAGUCGAUACGGGCAGACUGGAGUUCGGCAGGGGAGACUGGAAUUCCUGGUGUAGCGGUGAAAUGCGCAGAUAUCAGGAGGAACACCGGUGGCGAAGGCGGGUCUCUGGGCCGAUACUGACGCUGGGGAGCGAAAGCGUGGGGAGCAAACAGG